GACGAACGCUGGCGGCGUGCUUAACACAUGCAAGUCGAACGAAGUGGCGAACGGGUGAGUAACGCGUAAUCAACCUGCCCUUCAGAGGGGGACAACAGUUGGAAACGACUGCUAAUACCGCAUACUGAAGGAGGGGAUUGCGUCUGAUUAGCUAGUUGGAGGGGUAACGGCCCACCAAGGCGAUGAUCAGUAGCCGGCCUUGGAGGAUGAACGGCCAAAUUGAGACUGAGACACGGCCCAGACUCCUACGGGAGACAGCAGUGGGGAAUCUUCCGCAAUGGAGGGAAGUCUGACGGAGCAACGCCGCUUGAGGGAUGACGGCCUUCGGGUUGUAAAGCUCUGUUAAUCGGGACGCGGUACCGGAAUAGAAAGCCACGGCUAACUACGUGCCAGCCGCCGCGGUAAUAC
rnacentral:rRNA from 1 species